AGGAUGAACGCUGGCGGCGUGCUUAACACAUGCAAGUCGAACGGUGAAAGAGAGCUUGCUCUCUGGAUCAGUGGCGAACGGGUGAGUAACACGUGAGUAACCUGCCCUUGACUCUGGGAUAAGCACUGGAAACGGUGUCUAAUACCGGAUACGACCUCCGAAGGCAUCUUCUGGAAGUGGAAAGAAUUUCGGUCAAGGAUGGACUCGCGGCCUAUCAGCUAGUUGGUGAGGUAACGGCCCACCAAGGCGACGACGGGUA
rnacentral:rRNA from 1 species